AAAAAAUUUAAAUCUAAUUUCGCCGCAGCGCCGGCCGAGGACCAUAUUCAAAUAGCUAAUGGAUUUUACUUUGUCCUGACAAGUACAAGCCCAUUUAAUCAAUAAUUAACGUAAUCCAUCAAGUACAAAGUGUCAAAUGCACUCGCGAGCGACGACGAGCCCAUCAGGCCUAAAAGGAUUUUCAGCGAAAAGCGCAUCGCGUUAACAAAAAAUCAAGUUGUCGCAAAGAUACACGAAACAAAUCCGCGCCCGUCCUGUCACAUCUGCAUGUCGAAAAACCAGCAGACCCAUCAAAACCCGAGUUUACAGCCCAGCAACCCCUAAUUUUAACCCCUGCCUGUGCCGUCUGUCACUCUCGAGAUGUCCGGAGGGGGGAAUAGGCAUAAAGCAGCGGCGGCAGCAGGAGCAGCAGCUUAUCUAAGCCGAAAAGUCGACCCUGAUCAACCACUUGCAGACCGGACCCCUUACACGUAGAUAGCCCUUGUUGUCCUACUCCAAAUGGGUAUCAAACUACAAAUGUCCAUUUUUCAAUUUACCUGGCCCUUACGCACUUCGUACCACUCCCCCGCACUCACCCACUACCACUACUGCAUUGAAUCUGAAAUGGAAUGAUAUACGGACAGGGUACGGGAAGUGGACAACCAUACGGACAAACAAACGGACAAACACCCACCGAAUCGCCCUAUAAAUUAGCCCUCGGCCGUUGACCAGUUGGUUUUGCUGGCGGCCAAAAGACCGUGAAAUUUUCCCAAUAUGCUGCGUUUUAUUUGCGUUUCCCGCCCUCCACUCAUCCUCAUCCUCAUCGCACUGGCCAUAUCCCAUAUCCCAUAUAAACUGGGCAAUGGGAACUGUAAACUGGGCACUGCUCGCAUUUAAAUGGACAGCCCAUUUGACGUAUGAAUAAAUUAUGUUGUGCCCCUCGAGCCCGCACGAUCGAUUCUUCGGCUAGUUAACAUAAUUUUUAAAGACAAAGGCUACGCUCCACAUAUUAUCCAUGGCCAAAGAAAGGGGCAGUUGACAUCUCUGCGCUUUGGCGGGGGGAAAUUUAUAUGCCGCAAUUUGUCAAUUGUUGCAAUUUCUCUUUGUGUGCUCGCAUCUAUUUAUACAGUUUUAUUUCCCAAAGAAUAGCCCCUCAUAAAUAAUUGAAAUGUUUGUUUAUAUAUAUUCCUGGGGAGUGAGACUGCCGAUUAAGGAUUUGAACAUCAGUAACGUGACGAUAAGUGUCCCACUCGAUCAUCAACAAACCAGGCGUGUUAAAGCGACUUAUCCUUUCAUGUAUACAUUUCCCUGAAAUCGCCUGCCUUUAAGGGGAUGCGAACCCAGCCACUCAGCCAGCGAAAAGUUAUUGCAACCCGAUCCUGUGUCGCUGGAUGUAUAUAAAUACCAGAUACCAAAUACCAGUUCCAGUUUCCGCCGAUCAAGCCCAAGUUCAUUGGGAGUAGGGAGCGUGGAAUGGGCGAUGUCCGGCCUGACGUUUAUGAAAAGCCAUCGCAGCAUCAAAGCCAAUUAAGAUACUGGUGGACAUACAUACAAGCUCUAAAGGAAUACGCGGCUAAUUUCUGCGACAAAGCCGACAAACGAUCAAAUUCGAGCUGGAGUUGGAGAGUCUUGGGGCACAAGAAGAAGCGGCACUUUUGUCGCAAACACAGGCCGUAAAAUUAAGAACUCUGAUUGGUAACAAAUGUUUUUGUUCAUUCGAGUGAUAAAAACGUAGCGAACCGAAAA